AAUGAACGUUGGCGGCGUGGAUUAGGCAUGCAAGUCGAGCGAGAAGCCCCUUCGGGGGUGGACAGCGGCAAACGGGGUAGUAAGGCGUAGGUAUGUACCCCCAGGACCAGGAUAGCCGCGGGAAACUGCGGGUAAUACUGGAUAAUCUCUCCGGAGCAAAUGGUUUUCCGCCUGGGGACCGGCCUACGUGGUACUAGCUAGUUGGUGAGGUAACGGCUCACCAAGGCGAAGAUGCCUAGGGGGUGUGAGAGCAUGGCCCCCACCACUGGGACUGAGACACUGCCCAGACACCUACGGGUGGCUGCAGUCGAGAAUCUUCGGCAAUGGGCGCAAGCCUGACCGAGCGACGCCGCGUGCGGGAUGAAGGCCCUCGGGUUGUAAACCGCUGUCAGGGGGGAUGAAAUCACCUUCGGGUGUUGACAGAGCCCCAGAGGAAGCACGGGCUAAGUUCGUGCCAGCCGCCGCCGUAACAC
rnacentral:rRNA from 1 species